rnacentral:rRNA from 1 species
GAUGAACGCUAACGGGAGGCCUAACACAUGCAAGCCGAGCGGUAUUGUUUCUUCGGAAAUGAGAGAGCGGCGUACGGGUGCGUAACACGUGUGCAACCUGCCUUUAUCUGGGGGAUAGCCUUUCGAAAGGAAGAUUAAUACUCCAUAAUAUAUUGAACGGCAUCGUUUAAUAUUGAAAGCUCCGGCGGAUAGAGAUGGGCACGCGCAAGAUUAGCUAGUUGGUGAGGUAACGGCUCACCAAGGCGAUGAUCUUUAGGGGGCCUGAGAGGGUGAUCCCCCACGCUGGUACGGGGACACGGACCAGACUCCGACGGGAGGCAGCAGUGAGGAAUAUUGGUCAAUGGGUGCAAGCCUGAACCAGCCAUCCCGCGUGAAGGACGACUGCCCUAUGGGUUGUAAACUUCUUUUGUAUAGGGAUAAACCUACCCUCGUGAGGGUAGCUGAAGGUACUAUACGAAUAAGCACCGGCUAACUCCGUGCCAGCCGCCGCAGUAA